CUCCCUGACAGUGCCAUGGGCAUCUGAGUUCUUUGUUUUCCUCUGGUGGUUAGGGCUUAAAGGAAAAGACGUUUCCAUGCUGCACGCAGUGAGUGCUCAUGCAAGAGAAAUUGGAUUUAAUUUGUAAGACAAGGCACCGGAAAGCAGACAGGUGAAAAACAAGCCAAGGACUGUCCCUCCUGCGGUUGCUAGGAGAGAAACCUCCAGCCCUCAGCCAUCACUUCCUGCUUGCAGAUCUAAAUGCCAUCAAGUGUGAUCAUUCCUCCAUAGCUUCAAUUUAAGGGCCUCUGAAUUUCCAGUUUGAGGAGCACAUUGAUAAGACGUAUCUGUUGCUCAGUACAACGAUGCCUGUGGGACUUGGGGGAGGGGAUAUUUAAAAAAGGCCACACUGGAAGUAUUAAUACGCGUACGGCAGUAAAACAUUCAGCUAAAACAGCAAUACAACAGACUUCCGAUGGGCCUCUGGAGGCAUUAGAAGAAGCAUCUUCAUUCCACAGGCGUGUUCAGCCAGAGAUAAAUCAACUCUGCACUGCCGAAAAGAAAUAGAAGCCUGCUAUAUCUUCUCUAAAGAUUUGUAGGAUGCCCAGUUUGGGGAGUGCUGGGGGAAGACUGCGUGUUGUUUUUGAAACUGAGACUUGAAUAUGGCUGUAAUGUUAACCACAUUUACUUCUGGCUGGGGAAGCCAGCUUAGCAAGUUUGAGGUCUCUUAAGGUCAUUUCUCACCGAGUUGUCUGCCUGACUUUGACAUAUCCUCUUGCAGGGUGCGAUCCUUUUGACACACGUAGUGGGCUCUUUGUAUAACCCAUGGCCAUUUCCAUCCAUGUCUGUGCAUCUUACAUGAAUUGAAAUAAGAGUGGACAGCAGGCGAGGGUCUGUCAAGUGCCAGGGGCUGGAGAGGCGCUUUAAAGAAUGGACAGAAAGGGUCUAUAUGUGUAAAAAGAUGGCUCCAAGUGCUGGCAUACGGAGUGGGAAGGAGAAGUGUGCACCAGAAAGUUCCAAGUCCAUCACUGCCCUCUACCACAGAUAGUUUACUU
rnacentral:lncRNA from 1 species